AAUAAUGCUGAUUUAAUUUGAUUUGAUACAGUGAUAAAUAAAUGACAGAUUGUUUAUUCUUGUAAUUCACAGAAAGUGCAAGAAAACUCAAUAUAAUUCUAAAUCUUGAAUUUCCCUCAGGAUAAAUAAAGUCUAUAUCUAUCUAUCCAUCUAUCUAUCAUUAUCACUUCUGAUACAGAGGCACGCAGCGUAUGACGUCAUCAAUGUCUUAACGUCAGGCCAGAGCCAUUAACGGAAACUUCUAGAAAGUCACCGAGGCAAGCGAGACGAGUUUGGAAGUAACGGGGCAAAACUAACGUUAAUUAAUUAACAUACUUUACAAAGUUGAGAUAACCCAGCUUUUUUGGAGCACUAUAUGUUGAACUGUGCUCUGGUAUGACCGCGUCAGUACCGUUAAGUGGAGGCCCGUUAACGUACGUUACUGUUACGCUAGCGUCAACAAACGUUAGCUGAAAAGUAACGUUAAUGUAUCCAAGUGACUGAAACCUUUGCCAGACAGUCGUCACCAGUUGUUAUUUAAAGUCUGGGGCUGCUCCUUGAUACCUGCGCUUUGGUCUGGAGUAUAUAGAGUGCUGCCGAAGGAAUUUCAUAAUGCCCAUAAUCACCUGACUGGCAAAAGCAGCUACUGUACAGUGCGAAGAUGAACCAGACAUUGCUGAUCUUACCAAGGUAUGCCUAACCUGAAAAAUAAAUUAAGAUUUCUUAAGUCUGAUGGAAACAAGUUUCACUGUUACAUAUUUUGUUUAUUUAAUAAAACAAACUUGAAAUGUAA